rnacentral:rRNA from 1 species
UACGGGGGGGGGCAAGCGUUGUUCGGAAUUACUGGGCGUAAAGGGCGCGUAGGCGGCCUGCUAAGUCGGAUGUGAAAUCCCUCGGCUCAACCGAGGAACUGCAUCCGAUACUGGCGGGCUUGAAUCCGGGAGAGGGAUGUGGAAUUCCAGGUGUAGCGGUGAAAAUGCGUAGAUAUCUGGAGGAACACCGGUGGCGAAGGCGGCAUCCUGGACCGGUAUUGACGCUGAGGCGCGAAAGCUAGGGGAGCAAACGGG